rnacentral:misc_RNA from 1 species
AAAAAAAAAAAAAAAAAAAAAAAAAGCGUUUGCAAACUAUAUUUCAUAAGAUAACAAUUCAUAUACACCCUCUUAUGAAUUUCAUUGCAACUUCAACUGUACAAUAAAAUGAAACAUUCUCUACAACUACCUUUCAGAAAAAUUAGAAAGAGCUUCCCAGGAAGUUGUCAUCUAAAAUGAGAAAAGUGAGGGAACAAGCUCCAAGAGCUGACUCAACAAUAAGAGUAACGCUAGUUUAUUUAUGGUAUAGUUAAUUAUAUCAAAAGCUCAGUGAAAAAGAGGAUGACCAUCUAAAUUAGAGACAAAUUUGCAAAAAACAAAUUGGAGAGACAAUGAGCUUAUAUUCAAGCUAAUAAGGAAAGAGGGACUCUUAUUCCUUGUUACCGAAUCUGUUUGCAAUGAUAGGGCGGACAUCAUCAGCAUCAACCA